rnacentral:rRNA from 1 species
AUUGAACGCUGGCGGCAGGCCUAACACAUGCAAGUCGAACGGUAACAGGAAGAAGCUUGCUUCUUUGCUGACGAGUGGCGGACGGGUGAGUAAUGUCUGGGAAACUGCCUGAUGGAGGGGGAUAACUACUGGAAACGGUAGCUAAUACCGCAUAACGUCGCAAGACCAAAGAGGGGGACCUUCGGGCCUCUUGCCAUCGGAUGUGCCCAGAUGGGAUUAGCUUGUUGGUGGGGUAACGGCUCACCAAGGCGACGAUCCCUAGCCGGUCUGAGAGGAUGACCAGCCACACUGGAACUGAGACACGGUCCAGACUCCUACGGGAGGCAGCAGUGGGGAAUAUUGCACAAUGGGCGCAAGCCUGAUGCAGCCAUGCCGCGUGUAUGAAGAAGGCCUUCGGGUUGUAAAGUACUUUCAGCGGGGAGGAAGGGAGUAAAGUUAAUACCUUUGCUCAUUGACGUUACCCGCAGAAGAAGCACCGGCUAACUCCGUG